UGGGGAAUAUUGGACAAUGGGCGAAAGCCUGAUCCAGCCAUGCCGCGUGUGUGAAGAAGGUCUUCGGAUUGUAAAGCACUUUAAGUUGGGAGGAAGGGCAUUAACCUAAUACGUUAGUGUUUUGACGUUACCGACAGAAUAAGCACCGGCUAACUCUGUGCCAGCAGCCGCGGUAAUACAGAGGGUGCAAGCGUUAAUCGGAAUUACUGGGCGUAAAGCGCGCGUAGGUGGUUUGUUAAGUUGGAUGUGAAAUCCCCGGGCUCAACCUGGGAACUGCAUUCAAAACUGACUGACUAGAGGAUUGUAGAGGGUGGUGGAAUUUCCUGUGUAGCGGUGAAAUGCGUAGAUAUAGGAAGGAACACCAGUGGCGAAGGCGACCACCUGGACUAAUACUGACACUGAGGUGCGAAAGCGUGGGGAGCAAACA
rnacentral:rRNA from 1 species